UACAGAGGUGGCAAGCGUUGUUCGGAAUUACUGGGCGUAAAGGGCGCGUAGGCGGCCAUCUAAGUCAGACGUGAAAUCCCCCGGCUUAACCUGGGAACUGCGUCUGAUACUGGAAGGCUUGAGUAUGGGAGAGGGAUGUAGAAUUCCAGGUGUAGCGGUGAAAUGCGUAGAUAUCUGGAGGAAUACCGGUGGCGAAGGCGGCAUCCUGGACCAUUACUGACGCUGAGGCGCGAAAGCUAGGGGAGCAAAC
rnacentral:rRNA from 1 species